UACGUAGGUGGCAAGCGCUAUCCGGAUUUACUGGGUGUAAAGGGCGUGUAGGCGGGACUGCAAGUCAGAUGUGAAAACCACGGGCUCAACCUGUGGCCUGCAUUUGAAACUGUAGUUCUUGAGUACUGGAGAGGCAGACGGAAUUCCUAGUGUAGCGGUGAAAUGCGUAGAUAUUAGGAGGAACACCAGUGGCGAAGGCGGCUUGCUGGACGAAAACUGACGUUGAGGCUCGAAAGCGUGGGGAGCAAACAGG
rnacentral:rRNA from 1 species